rnacentral:rRNA from 1 species
GACGAACCGUGCGAACGUUAUUCGGAAUCACUGGGCUUAAAGGGCGCGUAGGCGGGCCGGAUAGUCAGGGGUGAAAGCCUCCAGCCCAACUGGAGAAGCGCCUUUGAUACUGUCGGCCUCGAGGGGUGCAGGGGCAUGCGGAACUCAGGGUGGAGCGGUGAAAUGCGUAGAUAUCCUGAGGAACACCGGUGGCGAAAGCGGCGUGCUGGACACCUUCUGACGCUGAGGCGCGAAAGCUGGGGGAGCAAACGGGG